rnacentral:rRNA from 1 species
UACAGAGGGGGCAAGCGUUGUUCGGAAUUACUGGGCGUAAAGGGCGCGUAGGCGGCCUGUUAAGUCGAACGUGAAAUCCCCGGGCUCAACCCGGGAACUGCGUCCGAUACUGGCAGGCUUGAAUCCGGGAGAGGGAUGCGGAAUUCCAGGUGUAGCGGUGAAAUGCGCAGAUAUCAGGAGGAACACCUAUUGCGAAGGCAGCUCGCUGGGACGUAACUGACGCUGAGACGCGAAAGCGUGGGGAGCAAACAGG